GCAUGUCUAAGUAUACGAAGUUUACUUUGAAACUGCGAACGGCUCAUUAACCAGUUAUAGUUUCUUUGAUAUUUACCUUCUACUGGGAUAACCGUAGUAAUUCUAGAGCUAAUACCUGCAUUAAGGAAAGAGAUAUGUUAAUUUGUAUUUAUUUCUGCAUAAAUUAGAUCGAAACCAAUAUUAUAYUUGUAGCAAUACAAAUAUAAUUGAAGGUGAUUCAUAAUUUAAUAAUAGCAAAUCGCACAAAUUAAAAUAGAUUUUGGUUAUGUUAAGAAAUGAUCAUUCUCGUUUCUGCCCUAUCAGCUGCGAUGGUACUGUAUUGCCCUACCAUGGCUUUGACGGGAAACGGAGAAUUAUACUUUGCUUCCGGAGAGGGAGCCUGAGAAACCGCUACCCCAUCCAAGGAAGGCAGCAGGCGCGUAAAUUACCCCAUCCCGAAACGGGGAGGUAGUGGCGGUAAGUACCAAUGACGGGUCUCAAUUAAAUGAGUCUUGAUUUGGAAUGAGCACAAUUUAAAUCCCUUAGCGAGGAUCCAUUGGAGGGCAAGUCUGGUGCCAGCAGCCGCGGUAAUUCCAGCUCCAAUAGCGUAUAUUAAUGUUGUUGCAGUUAAAAAGCUCGUAGUUGAAUAUCAUGGAAUAACUAAAAUGAAUCAAAAAGGUAUGCAGUAAAAUGUAUACUUUCAUUUGUUAUUCUAUAAAUAUUGAUGAGUAUUGGUGAUUAAUCUAAUCAUUCAUUCCAAUACGCAUCAACCUUUACUGUGAAAAAAUCAAAGCGUUCAAAGCAGGCAUCUUAUUGCAAUUGAAUGUUACAGCAUGGAAUAAUAAUCUAAGCCAUUGUCUUAUUUUGUUGGUUUACAAGACACCGGAAUGUUAAAUAGGAACAGUCGGGGAUAUCCGUACUUAGAAGUCAGAGGUGAAAUUCUUGGAUUUUCUAAAGACGAACUACUGCGAAAGCAUUUAUCAAGGAUGUUUUCAUUAAUCAAGAACGAAAGUUUGGGGAUCGAAGAUGAUUAGAUACCAUCGUAGUCUAAACCAUAAACUAUGCCAAUUCGAGAUGGUGUUAAAAAUGAAGGUUAUUUUAACCAAUAACCUGAAUACGAUAAUUAAUCAUAAUAUGAUAAAAUGUCAAACACUGAAUCGUAUGCGAAAGCAAAAUGUUUGGGUUCUGGGGGGAGUAUGAUCGCAAGGUUGAAACUUAAAGGAAUUGACGGAAGGGCACCAUCAGGCGUGGAGCCUGCGGCUCAAUUUGACUCAACUCGGGGAAACUUAGCAGGGCAGG
rnacentral:rRNA from 1 species